GUACUACUGAUGAGCCCCAAUCAGAGCGAAACUCGAGUCUAGUGC
rnacentral:hammerhead_ribozyme from 1 species